UGAAAAAUGUCUUCUCAACAUAAAUUGCCAGGAGGGGCAGAGAAAUAUCAGUGCAAUUUUGUAAAGUGCUGAGAUGUCAUCUAGAAAUUUAGUCACCUACUUCCAAGAAAAAUCAGUUCAUACUGGGACAGAUGCAGAGACAGGUCAUUAGGUUCGUUAAGAAAAUGAUUAAGUGGGUGGUUUUUGUUGUUGUUGUUGUUGUGUUUGUUUGUUUAUUUGUUUUUGUUAGGGAAAGGUAUUAAAAAGCCUGCUGGUUUGUUUAGUGUAGCAAAACAAAAGAUUCCAUCAGAUACAAUUGCUUUCUAUGGAUACUUCAUCAAAUGCACAUUAGAAAAAGAGGUGUUUAAGCUCAAGAAGAGCUCUGACACAGAACAAAUGAAGCUCAAGAGCUCAUGGCAGCCCUGAAAGGAGACCUCUGCCCUUGGGAGAAGCAAGAAAAAGGAGUGUUAGUAUGAUAAAAACAAGCCUCAUUUGAAGAUGCAGAUGGGAAGGCAUUGUAUGACUUGGGACAGGGAAGACCUUCCAAUCUUCUGUCCCUGUUUGCAGCAGGUUUUUUUUAUCUGAUGGUGAGAACAGAACCUUUUCAGUUGGUGGGCAAGUUCAGCGUGGGAAGCAUUUGAGAUUGUCCCUCAUGUUUCUAGUGCCUUGUGCUUGCACCGUUUGUGCUCCUGUGCAAAGAGCUGAGUGACAUUGUUCUGACCUUUCUUUGCUUUGGGUUUAUCUGGGCAAGGGAAAAAGUUUGCAUCGAGACUGAGCUAUUGGUUCAUAUGGAAACCAGCUGUGAAGAAAUGGAGAACUUUUGCAAAGGGCUGAAAUAUGCGCCAGGGAACUUGCGGCAGAUCUGCGGGUUGCGUGUCUUGUUAGUCUUUGCUGUUUAUUACCCCUUUGUUUAAAAUUAAUGGGAGUUGUAUAUAUCUUGUAAAUGAACGUAUAGGAUCGUUUCCAAAAUCUAUAUCCAUUUAUUUCUCUCCUAAGUAGAAACUAAUGAGAUCUGCAGAAAUUGUUCAUUGUAAACAAACUCCUUGACAAAUAUUUGAAUGUUUUUGUUUAAUAAGUUAGUUGUAAAUAUUUUUGUCAUAGUUCAAUUGUUACCAGAAAUAACUCAGUCCUGGAAUUCACUCCCUCAUAAUAUGUUACAUCUUCCUGGAAUAACUACGUUCCAGAGGUCACAUUCUACGAAUAGCUUUCCUAACUUAAAUUACUAGCCAAAUAGUCUGAAGGAUCCUAUAUGACUGCUGUUGCGAAACUCAGGUUUCCUGGUAGCCAUCUGCAUUUAAUCACUUUCAGGGGAAAAAAGUUACGUGCAGUGCUUUUGGACCCAUGCUUUUCUUUUGAGAGUGCCUAUGUAAAAGCAUACUCAUUAUUCACACUUUAUGUUCCUGUGAAGGAUGUUCAUACCUCCCAAUCCAAAAAAUCACAGUGGGGUACUGCUAAUGAUCAUCAUUCUUCAGUGUCAAUUAUACUUUGGUAAUAGCGUCAAUAUUAUCACUAUGGUGCUAUAAAGAAAUAAGGAGUAUGUAUUUGGGCUUUGUUUGGAACAGAACACUGCUGUUUUCAUAUAUGUUCUCAUUAUCUGUAAUUUAAGAACUUCCAGGCUAGGUGAAAGUUAGAAAUCAACUGAAGGUCUGGAAAUGUCACAAAUAACAAAAGGAACAGUUAUUUCCUAAAACAACCUGAAGUUAUUACAAUCCUUGGGGCAGGACUCAGUUGACAGGGAGAAGGGUGAGGGGGGAAAAAAGAGAUGGAUGGUGAGCACAGAUGAAGCAGUGUUCUUCAGGAGACAAAAUCUUAAUUUAAUAGAACCGCUUCACCUUAGCUCUCCAAUGUGAAAUAUAUUAAACUUGCCUAAUAGCAAACUUUACAGGACUAAGGACCAAACUCCCUUUCUCAGUUGUGACAUCUGAUUUCUGCAGCUCUGUGAAGUUAGUGAGGAAACUGGAAGACAGGGCUUUGGCACAGGGGUGAAUGGGGAAAAGCAUCGAGGGAAGUGGGGCAUCACUAGUGGAAAAAUACAGGAAAAUCUUCCUGCAGCCUCUGGGGAAAAAGGCUUAUAUCAAGAUCAGAAGAGAGCAAGUGUCUUUAUUUUAUUCCAGGUAAAAAAAUUCCAGUUCCAUAAUUGUAUAUCUUCCUUCUUCUUCAAAGUAUAAUUUAUUAUGAAUGUAUAAGCAGAAAAAUGCCUAUAUAAGGCUGUUGUUUUUUUUUCUCUGCUAAUGCUAAAACAGUGGUAUGAUCCUGACCAUUUGAUGAGAAAAUAGGAAGGUGGAGGGUCUCUCUAGGACAGAUGCUACUUCUUUUUUAAACAUUUUGCAUGGAAAACACCGAGUUUGGCAGUGUAUCAAAACCUGACGUGUUUUGGCUGAUCUUAUUUGAGUCUGGGAGCGUUUGGGCUUUUCUUCCUCUCUUUUUCUCAAAUGGUAACAUUUUAUUCUCUGUUAAAUGUACUUGAUAGAUAAUUUCAUUUAAUCAAACCCCUGAUUUUUCCAUAGGAAACCAUUUGCAGUGGAAAAAGGGUUCGUUUCAGCUCAAAGAGCAGGUGACGGGCUGCACAGCAGGAGGACCAGGUACCCAAAGCAGCCUCAGUCCCAGCAGCAGGGCUUACAGGACGGGGUGUGUGUUUUCCUCAUAAGCUUUUAUAACCUUGGCAGCCUUUCUAACAGCAAGCAAGUAGCUACCAGGAGUCAAACAGCUCUCUGGUGACCGUCAUCUUCCUGAGGCUCUGCUUGGCUGUGGCACAGUUUUAUAUAGCGAUUUAUUCCUUAAUAGCUGCAGGGAUCUACCACAUGGAGCAGUGCCCUCAGAGCCGGCACUGCGCUGGCUCUGAGCCCGUGAGGCCCCUCAUUUCUCCUGUUACAUCCCAAGGUCACUCUGUUUGGAAAGACCAGGCCUGCCCUGCUGAGCUCAGUGGGAUGGGUUACAGGGCAGCCACUGCCAAACUGUUUUGUGUCUGAACUGGCAAAGCUCAUCUUUUCUAGCAGAGGAACAGUGAGGCACCAGCACUGGACUGUGCCCCCUGGGGAAGGCAAGAUGGACCAAGAUGUAAGGAGAGUUUUCUUUGUUGUAAGUUGGGGUUUGUAUUGAGCACCAAUAUUGCAGAACGAUACAUCAGGUUGUCAGCACACCCUGGGAGGCAGUCAUGUGUUAAACCUUCAAGUGGUGGGUGUCCUUAGGAUCCCACUUACAGGGGUCUCAGGCAUCUGUCUCCACCUGAUGGUGGGCAGUUGGCUGAAACACCAAUCCACGGCUUGGUGUGAGGAAGGGUUUUCUGCUCUGUGGGCCAGCAAGCAUGUGACAAAAGGGCAUCAUGCUUUCCCCUCCCAUAAUCACUGCGUAGAGGUGCAGCAUGCAGUGAUGGACAGCCCUGCCAAACCUGCUGAGGCCCUGGACUGCCCAACACCAUGGUUUGUUGUUACAAGACUAUGCGGAACGGCCACUUACCAGUGCGUACUUGAUCCCCACAAGGGAGGGACACACAGUGACAUUUAGAUGUGGUGGGUGGGCCAAGCCCUGCUGAGUUAACCAGACCCUGCAGUACAGGGCUUAUGCUGAUUUCAUGCUCUUAGAGUGGCUUUAUACUGAUUGCAAGGUCUGCUCCAGCAUUAAUCUUGUCAAUACAAAGGUAGCCAUCAACAAUUUUUAACCAACUUGAGCCAGCAGAAUGAAUUUGUAUCAGAUCAGCUUUUGCAUCACAUGGCCACCCAGUUUCACGUAUGACAUAGCAGCGUGUGAAUGUAUUGUUUCUCUUAAACAAUGGCCUGCCUUAAAAAAAUAGCUCUGCUGAUCAUCUGCACUUGCAGAAAGGAUGGAGAGGAGGAGGAACAGAAACAGGACAAGUUUGGCUGCCAGAACUGAGGGCCAUGCGUGGCUCACAUGCAGCGGUCCUAGGAGAGCAUUAACCCUGGAGCUCAGCACAGGCUCUCCCUACAGGGCUUUCUUUUGAUCCCAGAGAAACCCCUGGGUGGGAGAGUGUAUGCAAAGGAUGAGUGAGGGAGAGCAGAGGGAGCUUUGAUUGAAGGAACCUUUAGAGAAAAAGCUGCCAAUGAGAUUAUUCUUUAGCUAUUGAAUAUAACAUAUGUUGCAAGAGAGAGGGAGUAUGAUAUUCUCCAGAUUAGGGAAGGGGAGUCUCUGUGUUUCAAACUGAUUCAGAGAGGCCCCUCACAAAGACUUUAGAACAAAACUAAAAAUAGCUUACUCCAAGGAAACACUUUUUUUUGCCAAGAAACUGCAAUCCUAUUUGUUAUGCCCACUGAUUUAAGAAAGUAGACUUAUAAGUUUCUGCAUCGGGCGUCUUCCUGAGUAAAAAGCAUUAGGAAGAUCAAUGUUGCUUUGUACUUUGUUUGAAGAGCUGUCAAAUAGCAGCAGUAUCAAAUAGUGUGGAUUAUCAUCUUAUACCUCCGUACAAUUAUAUGCAUUUUAAUUACUGGUACAGAAAGUAUUCUGUGGGACAUCUGAGUCUUAGAAACAGACACUAAUUAAACAAGCAAAAUGUGCUGAGAUCUCUGUUUUCCUCAACUGUAUCAAUAACAAAAUUCUCCAGCAGGUCAACACAAACUUCCUCCUCCCCGUCUCAUCUGAGCUGCAAGUACUGAACAGUAUAAUGUUUUCAUAAUUAUCUGAUUUACGUAACAGCAGCAGAUAAACUCAAAACACAGGAAAAAAAAAAAAAAAAAAAAAAAAAGAGGGCCAGGAAAUCCACAGUGGCUGUUCCAGUAGCUUUCCAGAAUGCCUGACAAACCUCAUGUCAAAGCCUCAGCUGCAGCUCUACAUGAAGAAAGCCUAUUUUUCCCUGCAGAUCAGUGUUGUUAUGAAAAAAAGUUAUUAAAUCAUAGGUAGAAAGGGCAAUAUGUUCAAGGUAGCCUGAAAACAUAUCCAAGCUCAGCCUGGUGCCACUUCAUCUUCCUUCCAAUAGGUAGGUGCUAUGAAGAACAUUAUUGCAAGCUGAGCACACCUUGGAGACUUGAAGAUCAUUGACUCCUUGCCUAAAGCCAUUGGGAAGCCUAACAGUUGACUACGGAGGUGUGGAAAAGGGACACUAAAUCAUGAUAAAGAAUAAACCCAGAUUACAGGAAUAUGGGUGAACUGUUGGCAGUUUCUUCCAAAAUCCUUGUUCUUCUGUCAAAGUGAUGAUAUUUUAGCUUCUGUCUGGACUGCUGGCUCUGGGCUGGUGAACAGGGUUGGUUUUAUCAGCCGUGUUCGUUGAAUUGUUAGCUGGACACUCAUUGUAGAAACCCAGGUGCUACAUACAGUUGCUGAACCCUAAGCAUCCCUUGUCUUUUUCAUUCCCUUCCUUAACAGAGCUGAGUCCUUGGGGCCAGUUGCAGGCUGUUACAAUGGGUAUUUAACAAUACUUGACAUGACUCAGAACACUGCAGUAUUUCCAGGAAGAGAGCUCUCCGAGACGGGUGGUUUCCAGUGUGCACAUAUGCGCCUGUAUUUGUGUGCGUGCUGGCUAUACUGUUCUCCGAAGCAGGGAGAUAAGAAUGGGAUUAUCCCAUAUCUGCCAGCUACAGGCUUCUGAGACCUUUCUCUGAAGCAUCUGGUGCUGGCCAACAUCAGAGACAGGAUAUUGACCCUUGUGUCUAAGCAAGUCUGGCAAUUCCCAUAUUUCCAGGCACUGGACAGGAACAGAUUGUUUUCUAGUAGAGGGUGGCUCGUAUUUCUUGCCGAUGCUGACAGUCAAAUGCCGCUUUCACAUUCUCUCUUAAUCCUGAUACACAACCUCGGGCGGAAGGUCAAAGGGUAGAUCCUGGAUGUUCCCAUGCAAGGAAAAUCAAUUUAGAUUCACAAAAGACAGAGCAGUCAGUGCAGAAGGUCACUGCAUGGUCUUAGUUGAUCUUCGGAUUCAGAAAUUUGAACAGGGAGGAAGGAGGGUGAUGAACAAGGAUUUCUUGCAGACUGGCAGAACAAGAGCUUGAGAAGAGGUAUAGGCAGAAGUGCCAUCUGCAGUAGAGACUGACCAACCCACUGUGCCAGGACCCGGACUAUCCCAAAAUCUCAUCAGUAGUUGUAAUUUGGCCUAAGUUCAUCCCAUUGUGAAGCAAGUUGUCUACCAAGUUUGGAUUUCAGAUCCAACCUGAGACUUUUUACUUCAUUAUACAGAAAAAUUUAAUAGCAAAUAGUUUUCAUUGAAGCAAGCAAGGGACUCAGACAAACAGAACGACCUGAUCCCUUGCACAAGGAUGAAUAGAGAUACCUUUGAGCUUAAAACACUGCUCUCCUGGUGCAGUAGGAAAAUCCACUUGGUCUUUAACAGACAAUUUGGCCACAGAGGAAAUUAGAGCUGAGAAACACUCUCUGAGGGUUUUUUUUGGCAGAUUCCUGGUCUUAUAAUGAUGCUUAUUUCCCCAAAAAAAAAGACAUUAGCAAGAUUCAUGCUUUUUGGAGGGGCCAGGGCAAAAGACUUUGAAUGAAAGGCAAUGGGGAAAGCAACUCUUGGGUCAAUGAGGCAGCAUGUCUCCCCAGCAUAAAGUGUAUGGAGAAGGUCCUCUCCACCCUCCACCCGUGCUUGCCUUUCUGCUUUCAGGCUGGUGAGUACAUCAAAUGGAGCUACACUCCAUAUGUCUCACCAGGAAGUGCUUAUAGCUUGCAUUAGGGAUGUUAACAAACUCAAGCUACACAUUAUUGCGUCACUUUUCAGCUAAGUUUCACAAAGGGAGGUGGACCGUUGCUCCUUUGAGAGGCUAACGUUGUUAUUUGGUAAAAAUGCACCCAAGGAGUGAAUUCCCUCUUCCACUUCAUUGUGCUUUUGAGCACUGCUCAGUAACAACACCAUGCACGGCUUCAAAUUUAAGCACCGAGGUCCCUACAGACAUAGUUUUGCAGCUUUCGUGUAUACGGUAGAGCACGACAGCUCCCCAAGGGCCAGGCCAGUGCUGGUGUUUUCAUCUGGAGAGAGAUUCCUGCUGCAGAGUCUAAUGCCCCAUUGAAUUCAGCGGGGUUACAUCAGAAGCAGAAUAUGAAUCAGGAUCUUUGUCAUUUGGUGUUUAGUUCAUAUUUGGUGUUGCUAUAAAUAGGUCAUUUGGCUGCAAUUCUAAUUUCCAGAUUUAUUUAGUUUUUUUUAACCUCAGCUAUGCUUUUUUAGACCAAGGCAAUGCGAUGAUUCUCAAAAUGUCAGAGUUGGAAUUGGAAAGGGCAGAUGACUGAGGCAUGGCUCGCUCCUGUCCCAGGCUGCUCACUGCCUUCCCACUGCGGGCAGAAAAGGGCCAAAUGAUCAGUCUUGGUGCAGUCACCGAGGGUGGUUUUGAGUUCCUAGGAAUUUAACCCUCUGACUUUGACCUUUGACAAGAACACUUAAUUAUUUCCAGCUCUCCAGCCAGGUCAUAAACAGGCCCUUUAGAAAAGUUUCCUGCUCUCUAUAAAAGAGAACUCUCUGCUCCUGUCAUAGCAGAGUUUACAUUCUUUGAAUGGAGGGGCUUCUUGAAUCAGCAGGAUACUAUGGGUGGGUUAAAGAGUUCAGCAUGUGGUUUUGUUUUCAACAGUAGAUGCAUCUGUGUUCCAAAAUGCCAUCCUAUGUCCAAAUGUUUUAUGUCCCAAAAUUUUCCUUUUGGUUUUUGUUUCCCUAGAUUUUGGAAUUUCAGAUUGUUCCAUUAUAAAAACAGGAUUGGUCUACAAAAUCAGAAUGAAAACUGUUGCACCCUUUUCUUAUUUUCAGGCUCACACUUGGAUAAUAAUCAAUAUUUUAUUCAUCCAAAUACUCAGCAGUGGCUGCCUUGUACUCCUGAACCUUUAAGUUUCAGUAACAGCUUAUGAGCAGAUCUCUUCCCUUGGCUGACUUACCAAGCUGCAUACGGCACACUUUCUGUAUGAGGCAAGAAAAACUUUUGAGCUUUUUCUGUAAUGCUCUCCAUGUGUUCCAGUUUGUCGUGGGGGCAUUUCUCCUUCAGUCAAAAAAUAAAUGCCAAACAUCAGUUAUGCCAGAUUGUCCAAUAGAUUGGAAGGCGACACCCCAGCUGCAGCACAUCAUGCCUUAAUGAAGAAGUAUUUAAUCACAUGCUUUCUCUGAUUUAGGUAAACACACAGACCUAAACAACCAUGAUGCAUCAGGGAGUAGAGACUCUGCCUGGCAGCCUUGCAAGGCUCCUGCUUCUAGGCAGCCCAAAGAGGGGUUGGUGGGGUGUGUGCUGACCUCCAUGUGCACGUCACUUGUGGUAAGGAGCUAUUGAAACCGUCGACACCUCACUUAAACGACAGUAAGGUUUAAGGGAGACUGUAAUUCUGCCUUCCCACUUAACAGCUUUACCAGUAAGUUGCUGCUUUUUCCUUACAUGGGGAUGUGGUUGGUGGGCACAUUCUUUUAAAAUGAAAAGGCAGCGCUCAGUACCAAAAAACACUUGCCCACAUUUCUAGCGUAGUACACUUUAAGGCAGCAAAACAGAGCUGAAAAACAAACAUUUCCUGAAACACCUAUUUUUAGACUGAUUUCCCAGCUUUUGCAGUGCCAGGCUGUGCCUGUGGGUCUGAGGCAGAGCCUGGUGCCUGCCCCAGUAGCUAGACCUGGCCUGGAGCAGGCGGUUCAGGUGCAAAACUACAUUUGCAUCAGCCCAGAUUGCAGCCUGGGGUGAGGCAUCACCCGUAAUGCCUGCACCCCAUGAAGCUUCAGCCAAGCCUGAGCUGUAACCAGAAACCCCCCUGGUGUCCCUGAGCCUUCCCCUACAGGUUUGAGGUCAUUGAGAUGUCACACAGGCUGCAGGGCCAUUGUGCUGGCAAAGCCUGGGAGAUGUCAGUGAGGAAAGAGAUGAAGAGCAUCCUUUCUUUGCCUCAUUGCUGGAAAGGGGGGAAUGGAAAUGCAUGUGUUAAAGAUCACCCAGUGGUAGCAGUGAUUAUAUUUCUCCAUCUACAGAGCAUGAAUUAAUUUAGACAGUGACAUCGUUAAACUUGUCUUGGAGAACAGAAAGCAGCUGUAGGUAUCCUUCCUGCUCGAAGGUAGUGCCCCAUGCUUGGCAGAAGACUGGAUUCCUGAGAGUGACCUGGGUAAUUCCAGCCCUUCCCCUGCCUCUGCAGGACUGCCAGCUUUCACCUUAGUUAUAUGUCAGAACGCAGCCAUUGCCAGGUAAAGGGAGAAAGGAAAAAAAAUAAAAGGUGGAAAGGUUUGCAGAUCACAAGCCCUCAGGAAAAGGGCUGCAUUUCAAGAUAAAUCCAUUUAGCUCUAAACACAACAGGCACGUUUGUAAAAUAGCACAGAGUCUCAGUCACUGAAAACAGAACAGCAAAUAGCAAUGAUGCUGAAGUCCAUGCCUUGAAGGCUUCAUCAUUUUUUAAACUUUAGUCCCUUCACAGUCUCCUGCCUGUACAAAAUGUCCUGAAAAGGCCUUCUGCCACCUUACCCUCACCAACAGCAUUUUUCUGCAAGUGAGUUGUAGUUUCAUGUGUCCUUUCUUAUAAGUUUUCUUCAGUUCAAUUCUGCAAAAGUCUGACUUUUUGAACUGCAAAUUCAUGCUGCCUGAACUGAAUUCUCACCUAGAGGCUGCUCUAUAGCACUACAACAAUACUAAACCUCUAGAGUGGUAUAAAAUACCUGGACAUUGAAAAAAAAAAUCCUCUCAUGCCUCUGGAAUAAUUUCCAUAGUCUACAGAAGUAUCAAGUACUUCUGUUUUCUCAAAAGAAAGGAGGGGAAAAAAAAAAAACAACACAUGAAGCAAACACCCAUUAAUAUUCUUACUCCCCAUAUAUACCAAAUGGUAUUUUAAAUACCAUCUUUCAGGGAUCUACUUUGUUAAAAGUAGAGAAGUUUUAUGGCAUAAAUAUUUUCCCUGUGAGGUUAGGAAACCAAUGUGUUGGACACUAUAUUUUUUAACAGUUAUGGUAUAUUAGAUCAUGUUCUUUUGUGGUUAGGUAUGACAUCAGGCCACCACAAAGCCAUACCAGGAGAAUCAAACGGAGGAAAACAUGUCAAUUUAACAGCUUUCAACAUUCAGGGGAGUUUAGAAAAGCCAAAAUCUGGGUAUGUGGGAUCAUCUGUUGUUAUUCUCACGAAGCUAACCUGAGGUGAUUUGCAGGCAUGCAUACUUAUAAGAAGUUCAGAGGAAGAGAUAAGGUGAAAAAAAGUACUGUUUGGAUAUUACAACUUCAGCAACAAAAUCAGCCAGGCAGGCAGGUCAGCCACUGCCCCCGCUUGCCCUCCGGUAAAUCCCUGAUAAUUCACCUGCAAUCUGAAGCUCUUGGUAACAGCUUUCCUAAAUGAAAGAGGCAGCCCAAACUGCCAACAGACCCAACUCAUAAUCUAGUGCAACUGGCCCAUCACUUUGGUAAUGCUUUUAUUCAUCCAUUCCACCUAUCUGGUGUUCGCUUUUGUGCUUGGUUGGUUGUUUUGUUGGGCUUUGUUUUGGGUAUUUUGUUGGGUUUCUAUGUUUGGUUUUGGUUGUUUUGUUUUGUUUUGUUUUUUUUUGUUGCUCUGUUGUUGUAGUUGGGUUGGUUUUGUUUGUUUGUUUUCUUUCAAUACAGCACUGUCCAUCCUUAGACCUUUACGUCAUUGUCUUGAGGAAAACAUAGCACAAAUAACUUUUCUUGGAAGACAGAUAUUUGAGAGCAAAUGCUACAAUGCUGGCAGGCAGCUGUGAGCCCAGCAAUGCCUCAGGCUGGCUGCGGGUGAUUGAGGUAGGGAGGGAGCUCAGGACCCAGCCCUGGGAGGAUAUAACCUGCCUUGGGGAAUUUCCUGGUUUUGGGCUGGGAUGUGGAACUGCCCUGACUUGUCAGGUGCAGAGGGAUUAAUUCCCACCUUGUGCUCCCCUCAUCCUCUUGUGGCUCAUGCUGUAACUGCUCUCCCACCCAGAGCAGCUGGGGAGCCUGGUUUUGUUCUCCUGCUACCUCUGCAGUUAUCAAUCAGCAUGGAGUAAAGGGCCUCUCCAAGACAUGUAGCAUCGCUCAGGGGGAAAAGCAGAUCUCAGCAAGAUCUGCCCCUGGGGCAGGCAAGCAACCAUCUACAGGGAUCUGCAUCAGCUGCUGAGAAGGCCUUGCCUUCAUAGAGUUCCCAUCCCCAGCUUACAGAUGGGUUUUCUUUUGUUUGUUUGGAUUUUGUUUGAUUGGUUUUUUUUCUUCAGAGUAAAUACCCCUAACUUUAUUUGGUAACUUGCUAUUUCUGUUUCUGACCCAUAAAAGGACUUGACUGCCUCACAGAUUUUGUUCUUGUUCUAGCUGUACUAAUUGGGCUAAUGAAAAAUAUUUCACCUACCUGUAAGCUUUAUCUUGUCUAGGACCUACUCCAUCGCUUUCCCAGCAGAUAGCAAAACACUGUUCAUGCUGCUGGCCUUGUAUGUUGAAGGAUAGAGGCAACACAUGAGUUUUCCUGCAUCUCAGAUAAGCCUUGGAGAAUGUGGGUUACACAGAGUCUCAUAUUGAUGUGUAUAUAUCCUUGCAUACAUAAGGGGAGGUUUCUCAAAUUGCAAAGGCAAUCUGCCUAUUAGGUAUUUCUUAACUUUUAAGUCCUCAGCUUUGUAAGCUAAAUAAUGUCCUAUUAGUGUAGAUUCACAUUCAGCCAUGCAGCAAAAUGCCUUCAAAUGCUGAUGCCACCAGUUAUUUUAUACCUUUCAGAUUACAGAUUUAUUGAUACAAUGGGUGCAUUUUCUUCUCACUGAAGCGGAAAGGGUAAGAGGGACUUCAGAUUCAGACGUCUUUUGUACACUGAUGUUAUGAACCUCUGCUAUUCCUGCUCUGUUGCCUGCUGUCACCACCAUUCCUGUCCCUGCCGCAGCAGAGAAGCAACGUCAGGUGGAACGGUAGAAGCUGUUUCACCUCCAGAAGCAAGGGAAUGCAGUUGGUACUAAGUUCCUCUAAUUUCCCUUUGUGAGGAGGGACACACCUUCUACACCAAUGUGUCUUAGGCGCUGGAAAGCACAUUAAUUGCUGGGACUGGUCAUACAUGCAGGACUCUCCUGGAAGGUAAUCAAUUGAUACUGAUUUUCAUUAUAGUAUAUAUUGAUUUGAUGUCUAUAAUCAGUCGAGUAAGCAGUAUUCUUUUUAGAUGAAAAGGUGUCCUAUGACUAUUAUUUUUCACUCUUAUAAUUUUUGUGUAUCUAUUAUGACCUUCUGUUCUUAAUGGGGCUUUCCUUUGCAACGUGCAGCUGAGAAUCAUAAACAAAAAUUAUUCAGAAACAAUUCAAUGUGACUCAUCAGGCCAUUCAGACUUGGCCAAUCUGCCUUGUACUUUGCACACUGACUAUUCACAGCAAUGUGCUUACAAAGGAUCUACAACUCGGGGAUUCCUUUCAGAAAUUUUUAGGGAAAUAAUUCUGAAUAAAGAACUCGGAUUUAUUAUUUUUCCCACUGUUUACAGACAAUUUACAAACUCAGUGAGAUAAUAAGUUUGUGGACUGCAUUUAAUGAAAUUGUAGCAAUAAAUCUAAGCAAAGUGGACUGAAAUUUCACUUCGUUCCCCUGUCAUUGUCCUUACUAAAUGACUUGUACAAAAGCACUGAUGACAAAUUUCACACACAGUGUUUCUUAUCAGUCCUUACACAGGGAGAUGAAGAUAUUUCUGACAACAUUUCUGAUAAAGUUAUUCUUUUUCUUGGAUUCCAAUGUGUUCAUAACAGCUCAGAAAAGGAAAUCAGUUCUUCUGAUACUGUGUGUGGGACAAAUUGCCAAGAGCCAAUUCAUUUGCUUUGCUCACAGCAUGCCACUGCUCUCCACUUCAAAUUUCAUACAGAGCUUGAUGAUAGCUUAAAUAUUUUCUUUUUAACUAUUUUUAAUGUGCUCUGGGAUUUUGGUGGUGUUUUUGUUGUUGUUGUUAGCUGGUUUUGUUUUGGACAGGGGUUUGGAGGAAUGUUGUGGUCAAAACCCUGCAUUGCUCCCUGUCCUCACAGCCUGGGAGGGGAGAUCAGCUGAACCUCAUCUGCCCUGCUGCUCUUCUGAAUGAACAGUCACAGAGGGGAACUGGGGCUGUAGGUGUUGUGAGGCUUGAAAAAACAGAGAGAUCCUGUUGUCUUUGCAAAAUGACAGAGAAAUUCUGCAGGCUGAGCUCCCAGGUACAUCUUUGAGUGAUGCCCAAAGCACUGGCCUUCAGUGGCUUACCUCUAGGUUUUCAAAGCACUUUACUGCUUGGGCCCAAGGACGGGUUUUCAUAAACACCUGAAGCAAUGCUGUGCUGCACCCUUGUCCUGCAUUAGUCUCAUCUUUAACAACCUCGAGCUUGUGGAAAGGUGGGGGGAGCCCCAUCAGAAAUGCACGUACCACUAGAGCCUCCAACAAGAGCAAGACCUGCAGCUUUUGCUUAUUGUCAGAUUGGGCAUGCGGGUACUUCUGAGCCCUUAAGGAUGGGGAAAAGUGCUACUUCCUUGUCUUGGUUUGUCGCAAAACACAGCUAUUAAUGGUUGGCAGGUGUUUAUCAGGGAGUAAUAAGGAACUUCCUGACAUUUCAGGGAAACACUUAUUAUACCUUUUGUACACCACCAAAUAAUGAUUAUACCCAUAAUUUUCAAAGAAAACCCUUGGGUAGGCACUGAAAAUGGAGGUGUGGUUUGCGCAGGCUGGCAGCACCGCACAGCUCCCCUUGCAGGGGAAUUAGCACAGGGAGCAGCAAAGCAAAACAGGUGGCAGGGAUGCAGUUUUGUAUGUUAUCUGCAGAUGUUUUUGAGAAUAACACUGCCCUGGAAUAGCCUAAAGGAAGAAUUUGUACCAGUCACAGCAGAACUAUUGGAAAUUAGUAGAGUGAUAAGUUUUCUUGUCAAUCUAGCAGCAAAAUUCUCUCCCUCCUAUGACAAAAACAGAAUAAAUAUUCUGGACAGGGAGUUGUAUGAAAGGAGCCCUGAGAAGUCCUGCAACACAGUAAUGGGUUCUAACUAGAACACAAGAGGUUCCACUUAAAUUUGAGAAGAAACUUCUUCUCAGUGAUGGUAACAGAACACUGGAACAGGCUGCCCAGGGGGGUUAUGGAGUCUCCUUCUCUGGAGACAUUCAAAACCCACCUGGACGCCUUCCUGUGUAGCCUCAUCUGGGUGUUCCUGCUCCGGCAGGGGGAUUGGACUGGAUGAUCUUUUGAGGUCCCUUCCAAUCCCUAACAUUCUGUGAUUCUGUGGUUUCAGGUCUAUAGCAAAGGAUUGCUUCAAGCUGUGAAAAAAAAAAAAAAAAAAGGAGUUUAAACAUUCCCUAGUAAACCUCUUUUCUUUGUCCAGAGUCUUCUGAUGUCUCCAGCUGCUGCAUUUGUUGCUUCCCCAGCUGAAAGGGAGCCGAGCACAGGCCAGGGGUCUUGGAGGAUUCUACCCCAGAGAAGAGGUCUGGGUGAAAGGAGUCACCAUUAUGAUGCAGUGUGUGAGGUGUUCUCUGCAGCUGAGGAUGUGAUAGUUUGCCCAGUCCCUGCUCCUGUCUUCUCCUCCAUAGCUCUGCUUGUAUGUUGUUGUAUUUCCAUCACCCUGUAAGGUCACAAACCAGCCUUUUGCUGGGGAAUGGUAACAGACGGGCUCUCCCAGUGUCUCCUCCAGCUUCUGCAAGGUUUCUGUGUCCUAUGACAAUUCUGCUGUGGCUUUCAGCAGUAGGAUCAUAUGAACCUGCUUGUGAUCUGUUUUCAUAAUUCUGAUAAGAGGAGAGAUGGGGCUGUUUAAACAUUAACUGUUGGCUACCUGCCUGAUGGACCAAAGGACCAAUUCCAGUGGGUGUGAUUGGUUUUGGUUUAAACAAAUGGAUUCUCUUAUAAAGUUUUUUACAACAUAUAUUGAUAAGGGAAAAAAAAAAAAAAAAAAAAAAAAAAACAACCAAAAAAAACCCAUAAAAGUGUGAAUAAUUAAACUAGUUGAGUUCAAAGCAUAUAGAAUUCAAAGCACAAAUCUAAAGCUGAAACAACCUCCUCUCUCUGCCCCAACAAAAGAGAGUAGCUGUAUUUUUUAGACUGGGAGGCUACUGGCAGGUGACAAAGGAGACCUUUGUUCUCCUCUUGGCUGCACGUCUUGCUCACCGGCUGACCUUCUGCAGGCCAGUCUCCCUCACACCGCUCGAAAAGGGAGUGUAAUGAUAUCGACCUAUUUGGCAAAGUGCUUUGAGAUCUAUCUGCGAAAAAGUGACGGGGGCGCGUUGCCUUUGCAAACUUUGAGCACUUCGUGUUGGUACGCUCCUUCAGCUUGGAAACUAUUACUUGGUAGAUUUGGACAGGUUUUAGUGUUUGUGAUUCAUUCACCAGGAAUUCCUGACUUCUUCAAGCUCUUCCCUUAUUUGUAGGUAUUUGCUGUCUAGUUUACUAAAUGGGCUGUUCUGAGGCUGUUUGCUACACUUGACAUGACUUAUCCCUCUGUGGGGCUGAGUCACAUACUGCCAGGUCUUACACCAGUGUGUGGCAAUUAAGAUAGGUAGACGGAAGCAAAAACCCAGCCUAGAGCACGACCUACAGCUUGGCGUGGUGGGGUGGGACUGGGGCGUGGGUGGCAUCUCCCCUUCCUUGCACCUGGACUCUGUCGGUGUGUGACUCAGGGCUGGCUGAGCAGGCAACAGUGGGACUUCUGGCAGGUCAGAGGCUCAAUAACAGCCAAGGACAAAGAGGAGUUGUUAUCUGGUGUGCAGGCAGAAGUACUUUCCGUGCAGACAGGGUGUUUGGCACGUAAAAUCAUGAGCUCAGCACUACAGGCAAAAGCUAACUCUAGCAGAAGUAUACUGAGCACAUUUUGUUCAUGGUUAUUUCCUUGAUAAAAUAAUCUGCAAACUGCAACAACUCUUUCCUUUAGCAGCUCUAGCUACUAUUUUAAGAAUACUCCUAUUCCAUAUUCUGGAAAAAAUGUCUCGUUAUUUUGAAGCCUCCUACAGGGAAGAAAGAUGCAGUUACAACCUGCUCAUGAUUUCUCAUAAAUUGAUUUAAAACCUUGUAUGUGGACCCAGUGUGAUCUCAACUGGUACUCAGACUGAUGCCUUCCAUGAAAACACACAGUUGUCCCUUAAUGGGGGAUUAGUGAUUUAAUAAGGUGUCUUUUUAUUACUGUUAUUGUUUUCUCACUAAUGGAACAGGCUUGUGCUAUGUGCUGUCAAUUACAUUACAAAUCACAUGAUCUAAGGACUUGCUGCCUUUUUUUUUUUUCAAGAAAAUGUAGCUCUAAGUUUUACUCAGUCUGGUUAUUUCAUGGCUUCAGAAUUUGUUGCCCAAGUCUCCAGUUACUGCAGCUGUAGAUAAAGCCUUGAAAAUCUAAAUCUCUUAAAGCUCAGGCACAUUGUAGAAAAUAUCCCCCAAAAGGUCACACACAGUUUGUUUCUGUGGGAGAGGAGAAGAUGAAGAGAAGGAGAUAAAAAAGCUAGCAUGGGAUAUUUGCAGCUAACGCUGCUGUCAGCGGGGUUGCUGGCACCGUGUGGCUCUUGGGGCUCUUUGGAAAGUUUUCUCCAUUUGGCUUCUCAGUCUGAACUCUUCCAGCCUUGUUGAGUCUUUCUGGGCUCUCUUAAAGGUCAGCUGGGAGAAAACAUGAGUUGGCUCUCCCAGAGGGAGCUGUCGUGUCUUUCACUCUCCAUUUGGCAAUCCAGGGAAAGUGCCUAAAGCAUGGUGGUAUGAGAGAAAUUACCUGCUGCUGCUGCUUUCUCCCUUCCCCUGUAGUAAAUUUUGUUCCCCAAAUGAAUGAGCCAGACUUAGUACCAAUUUUAUUCCCACCAGUCCUUGGUACGCAACCUAAAAAAACCUCAAAACCCACACAUAUCCCUUGUAACCCACAGCUUUUUCUGGAGCUGAUGAAAACCAGAGCUGAUGUCAUGGGCUAUUUUUGUACAGUGAUGUCUAAAAUACUUGAUUUUUGUAAUAGUGAAUGCCUGAACUAUACUUUUAAAUAAUUUAUGUUUUGCUUCCAUUUAUGUAAAUUGACAGGUAUCAGAGCUUAAUUCAGAUGGGGAAAGUACAUUUUUUUUGUUCAACCUACUUUCAAGUUCUUAUUCCCCCAAGUCUCCUCCACCAGAAAACACCCAGGUAACUCCUGCCAGGCAUGGUCCAAGCUAUCAAGACAGAGGCCUUUUGUCUCAAAAUAAGAACAGGUAAGUAAUUACACACUUACAGCCCUGGACCUGGAUGGCGAGUGCUGCAGUGGAGGUGGCACAUUCAUUUGCAGUCCCUGGAGGCAGGUGCCGUGGUCCCGUCGCUCCCGCGUUGUCAUGCUGUCCUAGCAGUUGUCAUAAGCCACCAGAGCUUCACAGAGAAGUUCCUGGGACAACAGCAAAGAGAAUGAGAACCUAAAUGUCCAGUUUCCAUGUACAAUGAACAGUUGUCAUUAGCCAUGCCAGAUACAGGCUGGGUGUUUUUCCAGUUUCUGGUUUUCUUCUCUUUCAAUGCUGCUGAAGUGUUUGGGCAGCCGGGCUGUUGCCUACCAGCUCCCACUGUUACUUUUUUCCUUAAAAGUAAUAUUAAAAGUGCUUUUUGUGUGUGUAGGUGGGGUUGUUUGUUUGUUUGUUUAGGUGGUUGGUUUUGGAGCUUUUGAUUUUUAAUAUCAAAGAGUAGCACAGUGUGCAGGGUCUUGCCUGCUGGGUUUACAUUCCCGUCAGCAAAGCCACUGCUCCUGUCACGCACUUUACAUCCUCUUGCUGCCCACUAGCAAUCAGGUGGGCACAGCAUAGCCUUCAUCACAGAGACGCCCAUUAAAGUGUGUUUUUUGGCAAUUCAAGAAAUUGCUAAUCUGCAAAAUCGAAAAAGAGAAAUUCACUAAAGAGAGUGCAGGAUGCUGCUGAAUGCAGAGCUAUUUUUAAAAAGAAGCUGCUUAAUGAAAACAGUAUAGGUUCUCUCCAUCUUUGCCUUCUAAAAAUGAAAUCAAGGAAAUAAAAAUGUUUUGGGUUUUAUGCAGGCCCUACUUUAGCAGCACCAGCCUUACCUGGUGGAAAUGGGUGUAACUAAGGUAGUAGAUCAAGGGCUUUUUUCCAAAAGGAUUCAAGCACCUAAUGUUGGUUUGAGAUGCUCCUGUCUAGACACAGAUCCUCAAAACCUCUUUGCUGUCCUGAGGAACCUGAAAACCUAACUACAGGCCUCAGCAAGUGUAUCAGAACUCUGCAUGAAAUGGUGGUGGCUACUUUUUAUCUGUUCGUGUUUGAAAAGGCAGAUAAAAACAUUCAUAUCUCUUUACUGCCCAAAGAAAUUUGAAUUUGUGUAUCUCACUCCCCAGAGAACGUUCUAAGCAGCUAACUAGAUGGUAUCCUGAAGUGCCGCUCUCUUCAUUACAACUCUUCCCAUCUUAAAGUGAUUGCAUGUAUAAUUAUGAAGGUACAGACACUCACACAAAACUGACUCUGCCUGUGUGGUGGUUGAAUACUCAUUGUAGGCCCCAGUUCUUAUUCUGGGGAUAUUAAGGUUUAUUUAUAUAUUUAUUUAUAUAAGUCUACUUAUUCUGCGAAUUGUUGCGUUCCAAAAGGAGCAAAACUCAUUGAAUCUUCAUAAAAACUUGUAUUAAUUCAGAUGCAACAUUUGGGUCCAUUAUACGUGCACAAAACCAUGGACUCUGAAGGCCCAACUGCAUUUAACUGAGCAUAACAUUUUGCAGACAGCCGUGUUCCACUGCAAAGCCAGCACUGGCGAUAAGCACCAGCCUGCACAAGAGAAAGGAAGUCUUUUGUUUCCUGCCCAUAAGCAGGUGCAGCAUCAGACUGGGAUGUUUUCAUAAACAGAAUGUCAUACUUCUCUGUUACAUCUGCAUCGUUUAAAGAAAAACAAAAGGAUGAUCUUCUCAUUGCCAUCUUCUCUGCCCACAGCUUUCUGAAUUAUUUUCAUUGAUUUCAUGGCAGAAGAUGCUGAUCCUGUGUUGCAACAUGUAGCCCAGGCUAAAAUAGUAGUUACAUCUUAGAAACAUUCCAUGGGCUUCUUGCCACCCAAAAGGUCAUGUUAAUCAACUUUUUAUCAGUAUCUUCUUCAAAGCUUUCUCAAAGUGUUAGUAUAUAACACUGUUACACCAUCUGCCUGCGGAGUACAAGUAAGUACCCCAAACCUGCACCAUUCUUGCACAUCUGUGGAAAAGUAGUCCCUGAAAGCAGCUGCUGAAACCCUUGGCUACUAAGAUGAGUUUGCUGAACUUGCUUCAGACAGCACUGGGGAGCUUGUCUCCAUCCCCCAGCUGCUGUGGGCCAGAGAAGGGGAAUCCAGUCUGGGAGAAAUGGAAACAACCUCAGAGAGUUUAAACAGUUUUGUCCACUGAGAAAGAAGGAAGAAAGAGAUGAAUCAGGGACUGUCAAAGAGGAAACCUAUCUGCAUUGUCAAGGAGCAAGAGGGGUCUGCAAACCAAAGGUUUAUGUGUUUUACACAAUGUGUCACAUCUCCCAUGGUACAUGACAAAACACUAUUCAGAAGAAGCAGUCUCAAGUUGCUCCUUUUUCAUCUUGACCACAUCUUGGCUCCUAGAAAGAUGGCUUUUGCAUUUCUAGUUGGAACUGCUAAGAAAAUACAGUCUGUCAGAGAGGGGGUUGUCACCUGAAGAGCCAGGACAAGCAUGGGGUAAGUUGUGCAAUUUCAGCCCACUGCAAUGUCAGUAUGGAUUUACUGAGACAGCUAUUCCUCUCUCAGGAGUUUGGCCUUUUGAAUGCCCAAACGCACCCUUGAAAUCUCUGUCCUUCACAGGCACCUUGCAACUGAGAUCUGCCUCCUCUGUAUCUGUUGUUCUGACAGAGCUGAGCUUAAACCUGUGUACAAUAAGAAGGACUUUGAGGUACUAGGGAGAGUGCAGAGGAGGACAAUGAAGCUGGUGAGGGGCCUGGAGCACAAGUGUGAUGAGGAGCGGCUGAGGGAACUGGGGCUGUUUAUCGUGGAAAAGAGAAGGUUGAGGCGAGACCUGAUCACUGUCUACAACUACCUGAAAGGAGGUUGUAGCAUGGAGGGUGUUGGUCUCUUGUCCCAAGUAACAAGUGACAGGACAAAAGGAAAUGGCGCCAGGGUAGGUUUAGAGUGGAUAUUGGGAAAAAAUUCUUCACAGAAAGGAUUGUUAUGCAUUGGAACAGGCUGCCCAGGGAAGUGGUGGAGUCACCAUCCCUGGACGUGUUUAAAAGGCAUUUAGAUGAGGUUCUUAGGGACAUGGUUUAGUGUCAGAGUUAGGUUAUGAUUGGACUCAAUGAUCCUGAGGGUCUCUUCCAACCAAACUGAUUCUAUGUGGCUGCCUUUAUUCCUCUCCCCCUUCAGGAUUCAGCAUUUGUUUUUAUAAAGAGCCAACCUUUUCUUUUUCUGAGUCUAGCCUUUCUGCCUUGGAGAAGUGCCCUUGCCUCAGAGCCAUGCCACCUUCCUCAGAGUGUUUAUGUCCUCUCCCCAGGAAAGGAUUACACAUUAUGGCGUGGGUUCAUUUUUUUAAACACACAACCUCUUAUUAGACAGUGUUUUUAAGUAAAACAGCAGGUGAGCUUGUUAACUCCAUCUGCCACUCUUCUCAUGGAGUGUAUGUUUUUUAAACAAACUUUAAUAUCCUUUACUAAAUUAAAGAAGUGUUGUUUUCAACAGGAAUACCGAGUGUUAUCAUGACAUACUUAUGUGCCUUUUUAAAGCAAAACAACACAAAAGCAAAACCAAUAACUACCAUCUGCCACUUUCUUAGUAAACAUUGUGACAUUAUGUCAUGAACUUGGUUACGCAGAUCACAGGGGUGUGGACAACCAGUUGCUGCAUUUUGAAAAUACGUGUUGAAAUAAAGCUUUGCUUUAGGUGCAGCAAAUCCAUUACUGAAUGUUCGUCAAAGAGAAAGGGCUCAUUUCAGCCAGCUGUACAUGUUCCCUUACGUCAGCGGGAAACUGCCUGGACACAACUUGGUUGUUUCUUAUUGACUCGUGCAAUUAUAGGCAGGGUUAAUAAACAGCACCACUUACUGCGAAGGCCACCCCAAACCCUUAUUCUGCAUUCUGCUCUCUGUGUUUGGCCAAGCCUGCUGAGAAAUGAUUAUAUCUUUCCCUAGGUCUGCUUUUUGGCUGAACAUUCUCUGUGGCAGGGGACACAUGCCUCAGGCUUAGUUUUAGAAAUAGAUUUGUUUAUUUAGAAAAAUGCCAGACCAGAGGGCUGCUAGUACAGGAAAGGAGGAGGCAAAAGAUGAUUUUGUCCACAUGAGGAGUAAAUUUGGUGAUCCCCUUGACAUCCAAGGUUGGAAGCCAUUGGGGGAGAACAGAAAGAAAGAGGGACUCUGAAUUGGUGAAAAAGUGUUUAAAUUCACUGAGAAAAGGUAUUGAACAGAGAUAGAGCACGUGAGAAGGCAGAAAAAUUGAAAAAAGGUUCAAUGAGCACUUAAGGGACAACUCCUAAGAAAUCACAAUUUAUUCCUUAAAGAAAUGGUACAAGCUUGAAAGCCAAGAACUCCAAGGUUACGAGAUGCUUGUUUGAAUCUGAGCCUUUUUGAAUACAAACAAUCUGAAACAGUUCUUAAUGGGUCACUUGCUGUGACUGUGCAGUGAUCGUGCAGUGUGAUCGUGCAAUUCUGCUCAUUGAAUGAGGAAAGCAUCUUUUAUGAAGGGAAACAAGUUACAUGUCUAGAGGCAAUCUAUACUCCAAAUCUAAGAGCGUAAUUGUGGUUAUGAUUCCUAAUUUAUUGUUCAUGGGGCAUUGAGUCACCUUCUCUGGAAAACCCACAGAAAUCCUCUGUGUUAAACCAGGUACUGUACAGAAAAAAAAUUUCAUCUUAUUUUCAAAUUAUUACUGGCAUCAGAUGCAGCUUAACGCUUCAGGAAUCUUUAAAUGUCAAUGCACUUUGUUUAUUUUACACUCACAGAACACAUGGGUCAGACUCAUAUCAUCCUGCUUCAGUAUUAGUUGUAAAUCGAUGUUAAGUUUGAUGUACCUGAAAUGGCCCCUGGGAAGUUCUAAUACCUUCCUUCUCUCUUUUUGUUUUGGCCUGUCUUCUUUCCCCUCCCUACCCAAACUGACCUGUUGUCUCUUACUCAUCUUUUGAGCAGCUGAUGUCGGUGGGGAAAAGAAACCCCCGUGUGACAGCAGGGGCCUAACUGCUUUGGUGCACACAGCAAAACUCCUCUUGACUUUAACAGAAGAAGGAUCAGUCCAGAGCCUUUCUCUUCUUUUUGUGGUGUGGUUUGGUUUGUUGUGGCUUUCUUUUGGUGGUGGUGGUUUGGGGUUUCUUUUUGGCAAAAAUGCAAUAACAUGCUGUGUAUAUAUAUAUAUAUAUAUAUAUAUACUGCAUUCAGUAAGACACAAAUAGAGAGCUUUAUAAGGUUCCCAUGACCCCUUUAUUAUUCAAGAGGUGUCUGUGUUUAAUUGGUGGACACAUUGUUCAUGAUUCCUUACACCUGUUUUGUUCUCUGCUGAAACCCACUUCUGCAAAACUGCAGCCUGUUGUACUGAGCAGGCUGGUUUUUUGACAGGUUCACUCUGAGCAAAUUAUACAUAUCCCUUUGGCUGAGUAAGACCUUGAUGAACUUAUAUCAAAGGAUUUUCUGAACUCUUUUUUAGGAGUGUGAUGUGAAUUAUAUGGAGCAGGUGUGAGUGCCAGAGGAAGGCGGAGGCUGGUGUCACACUUCACAGCUGAAAGCCACCCACCAUCAAGGCUGCUUUCAUGUGCUCUGCCAACAUGAACCCUGCUGGAAACAGAAGGUCCUCUGAGGCUUUAUGGUAAGCCUGAAGGGACAGAGCAGGCCUUUGCGGGAGGAAAUCAAAAGCAUUGGAAAAAUUUCUGCUUUGAAUCAAGAAAUGUGAAAGUUUUAGGAUGUAGUUACCUGAAGCAUUUUCUCUGUUGUUAAUUCUCAUCUAAGGAGACUACGGACCUCUUGCUCUGAUGACUGUGCUGCCAUAUGCCGGCCUCUCAGCUCUGUCCCUGCAACCAUCUGUGGUGCUGCAUGCUGAAUAUUUUCCCCUGCCAAAGGACGUGGAAGGCCACUGAGCACCCCAGUGUUCAGCAGCAAACGUUAUAUUGAAGAGCUUGACAGGAUUUUCCGGAUACAAAACCAGCACCUGAUGAUGCAGUGAUAAACCAUUCAAAAAAGCUGAAAGCACCUCUUGGAACAUGGAGAAGCCCUUAGGAGGGCAUGGAGCUCUGAUUUCUGCUUACGGCUGGGUUAUGAAUUUUGGAAGAUCAGUUUACUUCCCAGAAGACAUUCUACGAGACUAUUCUGGUCUUUCUUACCACAUUUUCAGAAGUCAAAAUAGCACAUUGGGAUAUCCAAUGUCUCCUUUCCUGCCUUCCCAAUAAGAUCACUAUGAAUCAUAGUCAUCCCUAUCUUCUGCUUUUUCAAGAGGUAGAAGCUGUGGAUGUGAAUGAAAGUUUAGACAUGUAAAUGUUCAGCAAAUUUCAGUUGCUCUGCAGGAAGAAGAUCUGCCUGACUGUUCUUAAUUCCUAGCUUCUGUGCACCGACCAGUCAUUUACCACUUCAAUGUGUGUGUCAUGGUUACUGUGUUGAUUAAACGACACCUGUUUGCUAAUUAAUAUUCUAAUUGUUCCGAAGUAUAAAUCAGGGAGGGGGGAGAAUUGCCCAUCAUACCUUACAGAACUGUCAAAGGAUAUGCAAAGGCUGAAUAAUGUAAGGUAUACUUGCAUUUUCAUUAGAGUAACAGUCUACUCCUGAAUAAGACAGAAAGCAAUUUGUGUCCUAAGGAAAGGUAUGUGACAGAAGUCUAUGUUCUUAGAAAGCAACAGUAAGCAGAGCCAGCAAUGUCCAGUAGAUCAAAUGUUUCUGGGAUCUCAUGUUACUUCUCUGUAAAAUCAAAUUGAGCUGCUGGCUCCAAGGAGCUUAUAACAUGAGUAACAUUCCCAGUUAAAAUACUGCAUUGUAAACCAAACAGCACUAAAUGCAUAUUACAUCUCCUUUGUCACUACUGCUAGGCAUCCCAGCAUGCAAUUGUUAAUUCCAGAUGCAUUUAUUAGUGGACUCUGAAUGAAACAUUCAUCCUCUAAUGUCAUUUGCUAUGCCAGCUGUGAAGUCAAUGCAGAAUUAGUCACAUUUCUAUCAAUGUUUGGUUACUCUACCCAAAGAAAUUAUCUUGAACUCAAUACCCUUGUUGUCUUUACUAACUACAUCUAAAAGCAAAAUAAAAUUGUCUUUCAGCCAAAGUCUACACUGGCAUAUGGAGGAUACCUUCUCUCUGACUAGUAAUACAGGAUGCAUAAGGAAGAGCAUGCACAUUUCUGGACCCAGUGUAUGCCUCCAACUCAAGGUGUAUAUAUAUCAUGCCUUGAAAUUUGACCUCUGGUUCCAAUUAGUUUGUGGUAUGUGGUUGAGUCAGCAGAGGAGUCAAAAUGAGUUGCAGCUGGAUGAUAUGGAGGUCAGAGUAAAGGGAGUAAACAUUCGUGCCAAUGGUAUAGUAUAAGAAACAGAAAUGAAUUCUGAGUAAAUUGAGGAAGCUGGCAUGAAAACCUCAAAAGUUAUAGGUUAUGGGCACUAACUGGAAAAUGGACUUUCAUUAGACUUGUAGAAUUAUUAUGUUAGUAAUAUGAAGACACGUUUUGGACUGAGGACAAUGUAUUAGUGAUAAUAGUUGUGAUUUUGAUUCUGCAAAGAGGUCGUUAUUCACACAUAUGAUGCUCAUCUGGCAUCAUCUCCAAGGUAACUUCGUAACUUGCCACAGAGAUCUGCAUGAUCCUGAACUUAUUGAAACCAAGGCUUGUUGCUGUAAAACACAAGAGGUUCUGCAACAGGAAUACAUGGAAUCAAUAUGAUAAAUAGAGCCAUUUCAGAAAUGUACUUUUGUUUGUUUGUUUUUCUGUUUUCAUGAAGGAUGACAUUUCAGCAUUACAUGUAGAACCUGACUAAAGCCCUAGGCAAUACUUAUGUAGCAUCUAAGCCCUAGCGCUCUGGUUUAUUGGAACUACUAUCACACUAGUGUGUUUUUGAACUAUUCACUCUGGUGCUGCAUUUCACCCUUUGGGUUUAUAUUAUCAUUCACGGUUACAAAAACCUGGUGAAAACUGAGUCUGAAUAUGACUACACUCUCCAAAUAUGCCUCCCUGAAGCUGACCUCUUCACAUUUCUUAUCUGGUUACAUUUAAAGCUGCUGACACUUUUAUGUAAUAUUUAGUCCCAUGUCUCUCUGAAAGAAAAGACCAAAUCUAGCUGUGUUCUGCAGUAAACAAACACAGCUCCUAUGCCUUAUUUGCCCAGGUGGCCAUAUGACAGCCCAUGAUAUGUUAGUUGUUCUUGUUGUUGAUCUUUUGCAAUUAGCAUCCUAGAACAAAAAGUUUAUAUGGAAAUACAUGUUUAAGCACUGAGGAUCAGAGUCUCCUAUUUCAUGCCUUAGCAGGGGAAGCUCCCUUGGGCAAUUUCUGAUUUCACAAAUAGCAUUACUGUCGGUACUGGAGCCUGUAACAAAGUGAAGUAACUGGGGUGUCAGAAACUGGCCUUCGACCACACAGAUUCUAUAUUUCUUUCAGAUUCUUAUUGUAUUUGUGAUUCAGCCUGUGAAGAUCAGAGUGAGCUGGGGUAAUGGUGACGUUGCAAACCAUCAGAUCAAACAUAAGAAUAACUUCCUGCUUAGCAAACAGAGCAUAGGGAUUCACCCCCAUGGACUGGAGAACUGAAGGGAUUAUCUGCUCUGUUAAAUUACAUCCCCUGCAGUCAAUUGAACAAACCAAGUCAGUCUCAUGCACCAGAUCCAACAAAACAUCUCCCAGCACCUUGUAGCAACUGUAAGGUCUGUAGUGACUGAUAAAACAUAGAAUAACAUACACCACCUGAGGGCCUGUCCCUCAUUCUCUCUGUCUACCUCUCUUUCCUGGGUCUUUUAAGAUCUAUCUGACAUUUUGUUCUUACUGAGUCUGGAUAAGAUUAGCUUUUGCCACAUUGUGGCACCAGUACCCAAAGUAGCAACAGUCUAUGCUGCACAUUGAAAGACAAUGUGAAGGGGACUAAGCUUAAAUAUCUCUGAAUAAAAUCAUAAUGCAAAAUAGUAAUCUUCAUCUUUUAUAAAGUACAUAAACAGGGUAAUAUUUGCCUUGGUUCAAAAGUCACAAGGUGCUUUAAUUACACUGCUUAAUGUUCCUGCUGAAUUUUCUACGUCAGACAUCUGUAUGGCAGUGUUAAGUCAACCAACCUUAGAUUAUUAUUCUAAGUACAGGGUGAAAAAACUAACCAUGACCUGGAUUAUAAAAUGUUGACAUUAAAAGUCUGCUGCUCCUUGUAAAAAGCGUGGUUUUGUAAUUUAAAGAAACCUGAUCUCCUGAAAGUGCCCUGCUGGGCCUGCAGCUGACUUCACGUUUGUCUGAGUUUUAACAGAUUCAACAGAACUAGUAUGAUUAAAGCAACUUUCAGCUCCCUGCAUUUUUGGAACAGAGCUGUGGAAAAGACACUUGGAG